rnacentral:rRNA from 1 species
UGCGGUUGAAAGCUCGUAGUUGGGUUUCUGCGGAGGAAGCGCGGUCCGCACUUGGUGCGUGUAUCUGGUCUACCUACGCAUCUUCCAGUGAAACGCUACUGCGCUUUAUUGCGUGGCGUGGCAAUCUGGACUUUUACUUUGAGGAAAUUGGAGUGUUUACAGCGAGCGAUUGGUUUGAACAUAUUAGCAUGGAAUAAUAACCUAGAACCUUGGUUCUAUUUUGUUGGUUUCUAGACUAGGGUAAUGAUCAAUAGGGAUAAUUGGGGGCAUUUGUAUCAACACGUCAGAGGUGAAAUUCUUGGAUUGUGUUACGACGAACCACUGCGAAAGCAUUUGCCAAGGAUGUUUUCAUUGAUCAAGAACGAAAGUGCAGGGAUCGAAGACGAUUAGAUACCGUCGUAUUCUGCACCGUAAACUAUGCCGAUUAAAGAUUGGAGGUCGUUCUUAUUGUGGCUCCUUCAGUAAUUUAUGAGAAAUCAAAAUUCUUGGGUUCCGGGGGGAGUAUGGUCGCAAGGCUGAAACUUAAAGGAAUUGACGGAAGGGCACCACCAGGAGUGGAGCCUGCGGCUUAAUUUGACUCAACACGGGGAAACUCACCAGGUCCAGACAUAGCAAGGAUUGACAGAAUGACAGCUCUUUCUUGAUUCUGUGGGUGGUGGUGCAUGGCCGUUCUUAGUUGGUGGAGUGAUUUGUCUGGUUAAUUCCGUUAACGAACGAGAUCUUAUCCUGCUAAAUAGGAACGUGUGUCUUCGGACAUGCAGGUUGCUUCUUAGAGGGACUUUGCGAAUUGAAGCGUAGGGAAGGUUGAGGCAAUAACAGGUCUGUGAUGCCCUUAGAUGUUCUGGGCUGCACGCGCGCUACACUGAUGCGUUCAACGAGUAUGCCUUGUCCGGCAGGACUGGGGAAUCUUGUGAAAGCGCGUCGUGAUGGGGAUAGAACACUGUAA